CCCUUAGAUGUUCUGGGCUGCACGCGCGCUACACUGAUGCGUUCAACGAGCCUUCCUUGCUCGAGAGAGCUGGGUAAUCUUCAUGAAAACGCAUCGUGAUGGGGAUAGGCGCUUGUAAUUAUUCGCCUUGAACGAGGAAUUCCUAGUAAGCGCGAGUCAUCAGCUCGCGCUGAUUACGUCCCUGCCCUUUGUACACACCGCCCGUCGCUCCUACCGAUUGGAUGAUCCGGUGAGCUAUUCGGACCUUCGCUUCGCCGAUUUUCGGCUUUGUGAGGGAAAGUCUCGCGAACCUUAUCAUCUAGAGGAAGGAGAANUCGUAACA
rnacentral:rRNA from 1 species